ACACGAUAUAUGCAAAAUUAGUAAAAGGUAGUUGGGCAGCUAAGUGGCACAGUGAAUAGAGUUCUGGAUCUGGAGUUAGGAAAACUCAUCUUGUCCACUGUACACCUUUGGUGCAAAGGCAUUAUCAGCUUCUUCACUUUGAAGGAUCAUUGGGAAGAAAAACAGAACUUGGGAAGAGGUUCCUAACUCAGAAAAUAAAGGGGAUCUACAAUACUCUCCAGGUCCCAACAGUCAUAGAACUCAGCUACCAACUGUCAUUCCUAUGCUACAGUGGAUCCUGUCUCGAUAUCAAGGAGGCUGACUGCCAGUUCUCCAGAGCUACAGAUAUCGAAUCUACCUUGGCAAUAUAAAUUUCAAUACCAUCACCUGGAUAAACUGAGACCUAAGGAAGACUAAAAGAAGUCCCAGGAGCUUCCGAGACCAGGUGUCCAAAGCCCCAGUUGAGGCAUUAACAUAUCCGUGUCACCAGAUGACACUUCACCAAAGGCAGGGCCACAACAUGGCUGGAACUUUCCUGUUAGGAGAUGGUAACCAAUGAAAGGGUACCACAUUUUCCCUCUUAGUUUGCUUGGACCACCUUGCCAGGAUGACAGCUUCACUGUUACAAUGCCCUGACCACUAAUGGCUUGGGUCGCCACUUCCUGACAUCCCCCUCUGGAGGCCAGGGCUUCAGCUUUGAGAUCAUAUACCUAGGCCUCUAGACUGGUGCUCCAACUGGGCCAUGACUGACCCCAACCAGAAGGCCUGGAUGACAAUUACAGUGGCCUGAAAACCAGAGUCACAGCUGAUCCUUCACCAUGUCUGGACCACUGGGCCAAAAGAACACUUGUCUAUUUUCCAUGCCUUGGCUAUCUGGCUGAGAGUCCACUGGACUCUGAUUACAAAGCUAAGGAUGCAUCUGAGUUCAUCAUGAC
rnacentral:lncRNA from 1 species